rnacentral:rRNA from 1 species
AGAGAGAGACAUGCGCGCAUAUCAAUAAGCGGAGGAAAAGAAACUAACAAGGAUUCCCCUAGUAACGGCGAGUGAAGCGGGAAGAGCUCAAAUUUGAAAUCUUAAAGGGUUUCCCUUUACGAAUUGUAGUUUAAAGAAGUGUUUUCUGUUGAGGUUUUGGUAAAAGUUCUUUGGAAUAGGACAUCAUAGAGGGUGAGAAUCCCGUAUUUGACCUUUACUUUCAACUUUGUGAUACACUUUCAAAGAGUCGGAUUGUUUGGGAAUGCAGUCCAAAAUGGGUGGUAAAUUUCAUCUAAAGCUAAAUAUUGGCGAGAGACCGAUAGCGAACAAGUACCGUGAGGGAAAGAUGAAAAGAACUUUGAAAAGAGAGUUAAACAGUACGUGAAAUUGUCAAAAGGGAAGCGUUUGACACCAGUGUUGUUUUUCUGAAAAUCAAUUAAAGAACUGUUUAUGCUAAGCUGUUUAGACUUUAUCAGCUAGCUGUUUAGUUUUGAGCUUUUCUUUAAUGCACUUUUCAGUUAACAAGUCAACAUCAAUUUCUUUUGCUGUAAAAAAGCUUGAGGAAGGUGGCUUGAGAUUCGUCUUAAGUGUUUAUAGCCUCUUGCCUAUGCAGUCGGAGAGAUUGAGGUCUGCAGCGUAGAUCCUUCGGGGCUAAAUGCAUUUGUGCUAAGUUAUAGCAUUUUAUAGACAACUUGUUGACUAUGAUUUGUCUUGUAGCUUACUCGCUUAUGUUAUUUUACCUACGCUUAGGAUGUUGACGCAUGAGAUAUACGC